AUGUAAAUCUAGUGAUUGCAAGUUUUAAUUUGAAAUAGAGUUAUCUUAGUAUUAAUAUGCUUUGUCAAUACUAAACUGUCCAGUAAAAAUAUAGUCUAAUAUAUUUGGUGUUCAAGUUGAGAACUAAGGCCAUAAAAUGCAAUGCUUUCCAUUUAUUUGUUUUAAAAUAAAGAUCAAAGGAAAUUGAGAGAUGUUUUCAGAAUAGAAUGCUAUUAUCUGAGCUAAUGAAUCAAAGGUAUAUGUAUUACUCUCCAACCCACCAAGACGUUAAUUCCUAAUUUACUUACGUGUAUUUUAAAAACGUAGCUUGCUUAAAAUUAUUUUAGGAGGGAAAAUUAUUGGGACCUCAGUAAAGGAAAGACAGAUUAUUCUCAUUACUGUCAUCUUGUUCCUUAAUCUCUUGAUUAAUGAUCACUGAGAAAAAAAAGUCAAUAAAAUGUUGCUUGUAACAAUCCUACUGACUUUAGGGUGCAAGCAUCAUGUGUGCCUUUUAUUCCACUACGGGGACUUACCACCCAGAUCGUACUUCCUGAAUACUCUAGUGGAACUGGAUUAUUAACUUUAUUACACAGGGAACAAGAGACAAGAGGAAUGGGAUAUGGGUGAAACCAUAGACUGAGAUAUAGGUCAUUGUCAUGAUUCUAGUUUUUAUUUGGGAAGGG
rnacentral:lncRNA from 1 species